rnacentral:rRNA from 1 species
GUGCAGCCGCCGCGGUAAUACCGGCAGCACGAGUGAUGGCCGAUAUUAUUGGGCCUAAAGCGUCCGUAGCUGGCCGGACAAGUCCGUUGGGAAAUCCACCCGCUUUACGGGUGGGCGUCCAGCGGAAACUGUCCGGCUUGGAGCCGGAAGACCUGAGGGGUACGUUCGGGGUAGGAGUGAAAUCCUGUAAUCCUGGACGGACCGCCUGUGGCGAAAGCGCCUCGGGAGGACGGACCCGACGGUGAGGGACGAAAGCCAGGGUCUCGAACCGGAUUAGAAACCCGGGUAGUCC